GACGAACCGUGCGAACGUUGUUCGGAAUCACUGGGCUUAAAGGGCGCGUAGGCGGUCGAUCAAGUCCGGGGUGAAAUCUUUCGGCUUAACCGGAAAAGUGCCUUGGAUACUGAUCGGCUGGAGGGAGAUAGGGGCAGCUGGAACUUCCAGUGGAGCGGUGAAAUGCGUUGAUAUUGGAAGGAACUCCGGUGGCGAAAGCGAGCUGCUGGAUCUCUUCUGACGCUGAGGCGCGAAAGCUAGGGGAGCAAACGGG
rnacentral:rRNA from 1 species